rnacentral:lncRNA from 1 species
CAGGUGAGAUUAAUGCUGGAGUAGUUAUGGGUGGAAAAUCAGGCUGUUUUGGAAACUAAUCAAAGGAUUUCGGACGCAAUCUCGGCCGUGAGAUGAAAGAAGCACCGAUGGUGUGCGAUUAGUCUGACAAACGUCUGCUAUCAGAUGCCUGGUAGGAAGCGUUUCCAGUCACGGUUUCUGAUUUUCUGUUGUUUGAGUAUGUGAAUAAAUUCACUUUUGGUCCAUUUGCUAACUUGAUGAUUGCCUUCUUAUAGCUCACGAUGGAUCUGUGCAUCAAAGUGUGAUCAGGCAUAAACAUGAAAGAACUAGGAAGCAAACCAUACUUCAUGUGUGCAUUGAGAUGAACUGAUUUUUAGACGCAACAGUAAGUUGUAAAACUGAGAUUAACCUUUUAAAGUUAUAUCUGAUACAUCAGUAGUAGGUUACUUGAAGUAGUCAGCAACAGUAUUUUUCUUUACAAAAGUUUAGCUAAGCCUGUCAUUGACGUGAGAUUAUGUGGGAUCUUCACUUGUUCUGUAAUUUUUUUUUACACACAUGUGGGCCUCCCACUUAUAUUAUGCGAUGGAUGUGAUUUGGGGUUGGGGUUUGUUCUGUUCAAUUAUCGUUCUAUGAGCGGAAUAAUUUCCCUACAUUAGAAAAUCUGGCAAAUUGCAUUUCAUUAGAGCUGACUUUGCAGCAAAUUGCUUGAGCGAGCGGUUCAUUUUUUUUACAUCAAGUCAUACAAUGUUUUAGUUAGCAUAGAAUGGUACAUACAUUUGUUGGUUGCUUCAAGAGUUAAUAAUGGAUACAGCGACAACGAACAUCAUAGUUUGUCCAGUGGCUAAGGAAACAUUGGAUCUGCCUUCUUGGCUUAGGAGGCAUUGUGGGCGGCCAAUGCCUCCUUCCCCUUCCAUGGAGGCGGCGGAUCAACACGAACACAGAGGAAGGGAUGUGGGUGGAGAGUUGGGCGGUUUGCAGGGUCUCCUGGAUGGUCCAUGGAGAAGUUCGGUAUGAAGGAGAGAGGGUGCUAGCGAAGGCGAGGUGGGCGUCAUCCAGUUUUAAAUGAGAGGGCUCCAUCGACAAAUGUCACGCUACGAUGAAAAUCGAGCAGGAAGGGAAUGGUCUGACAGGAAAAGGAAAGGGUGUGUCGUGAGGUGGAUUUUUUUUGUGUUGGGCCCUCUUUUUGUUGGAGAUAACAUGAUGAAUAGUCCGGACAACCAUAUUUCUCCUCCAUAUAUGGUAUGUAUUUGGGGAAGGCUGAAUUGUCUAGCUGGUUUAAUUUUGGGGUGCCGGCUGGGCACCCAUUUGAUGUCAAAACACCUUCGGACAUGGGAAGGAUAUAUGAGCUUCAACGUUGGAGACAAUCUUAAUUAUUUGUUUGAUUCACUUGUAGCCUGUAGCAACGCACGGGCAUUUUACUAGUGUACAAAUAUGUACGUAUUUCACAAAUAUAACAAAAAC